rnacentral:tRNA from 1 species
GCCUGGGUGGCUCAGUCGGUUGAGCGUCUGACUUCAGCUCAGGUCAUGAUCUCGCGGUCUGUGAGUUCGAGCCCCGCGUCCGGCU